rnacentral:rRNA from 1 species
CGGUCGCNAGAUUAAAACUCAAAAGGAAUUGACGGGGGCCCCGCACNAGCGGUGGAGCAUGUGGUUUANUUCGACGCAACGCGCAGAACCUUACCAACCCUUGACAUACUUGUCGCGGAUUCCAGAGAUGGAUUCCUUCAGUUCGGCUGGACAAUGUACAGGUGCUGCAUGGCUGUCGUCAGCUCGUGUCGUGAGAUGUUCGGUUAAGUCCGGCAACGAGCGCAACCCACGUCCUUAGUUACCAGCAUUUAGUUGGGUACCCUAAGGAGACUGCCGGUGAUAAGCCGGAGGAAGGUGUGGACGACGUCAAGUCAUCAUGGCCCUUACGGGUUGGGCUACACACGUGCUACAAUGGCAUCUACAGUGAGUUAAUCUCCAAAAGAUGUCUCAGUUCGGAUUGGGGUCUGCAACUCGACCCCAUGAAGUUGGAAUCGCUAGUAAUCGCGGAACAGCAUGCCGCGGUGAAUACGUUCCCGGGCCUUGUACACACCGCCCGUCACACCAUGGGAAUUGGGUCUACCCGAAGGUGGUGCGCCAACUAUUUAUAGGGGCAGCCAACCACGGUAGGUUCAGUGACUGGGGUGAAGUCGUAACAAGGUAA